GACGAACGCUGGCGGCGUGCCUAAUACAUGCAAGUCGAACGCAUUUUCUUUCACCGUAGCUUGCUACACCGAAAGAAAAUGAGUGGCGAACGGGUGAGUAACACGUGUGUAACCUGCCCAUCAGCGGGGGAUAACACUUGGAAACAGGUGCUAAUACCGCAUAAUUCCAUUUACUGCAUGGUAGAUGGAUGAAAGGCGCUUUUGCGUCACUGAUGGAUGGACCCGCGGUGCAUUAGCUAGUUGGUGGGGUAACGGCCUACCAAGGCUGCGAUGCAUAGCCGACCUGAGAGGGUGAUCGGCCACACUGGGACUGAGACACGGCCCAGACUCCUACGGGAGGCAGCAGUAGGGAAUCUUCGGCAAUGGACGCAAGUCUGACCGAGCAACGCCGCGUGAGUGAAGAAGGUUUUCGGAUCGUAAAACUCUGUUGUUAGAAAAGAACAAGGAUGAGAGUGGAAAGUUCAUCCCUUGACGGUAUCUAACCAGAAAGCCACGGCUAACUACGUG
rnacentral:rRNA from 1 species